GAUGAACGCUGGCGGCGUGCCUAAUACAUGCAAGUCGAGCGAACGGACGAGAAGCUUGCUUCUCUGAUGUUAGCGGCGGACGGGUGAGUAACACGUGGAUAACCUACCUAUAAGACUGGGAUAACUUCGGGAAACCGGAGCUAAUACCGGAUAAUAUUUUGAACCGCAUGGUUCAAAAGUGAAAGACGGUCUUGCUGUCACUUAUAGAUGGAUCCGCGCUGCAUUAGCUAGUUGGUAAGGUAACGGCUUACCAAGGCAACGAUGCAUAGCCGACCUGAGAGGGUGAUCGGCCACACUGGAACUGAGACACGGUCCAGACUCCUACGGGAGGCAGCAGUAGGGAAUCUUCCGCAAUGGGCGAAAGCCUGACGGAGCAACGCCGCGUGAGUGAUGAAGGUCUUCGGAUCGUAAAACUCUGUUAUUAGGGAAGAACAUAUGUGUAAGUAACUGUGCACAUCUUGACGGUACCUGAUCAGAAAGCCACGGCUAACUACGUG
rnacentral:rRNA from 1 species